CCAAUAGCGUAUAUUAAAGUUGUUGCAGUUAAAAAGCUCGUAGUUGAACUUCGGGGUUUACUCAUUGGUCAGGCUUAAUUGUCUGCACUGGUGAGAUGAAUCUCUACCUUCUGAGGAACUUUCAUGCCAUUUAUUUGGCGUGAUUGGAAAUCAGGACUGUUACUUUGAAAAAAUUAGAGUGUUUAAAGCAGGCUAACGUCUGAAUACAUUAGCAUGGAAUAAUGAAAUAGGACGGAUUGAUUCUAUUUCGUUGGUUUCUAGAGUCACCGUAAUGAUUAAUAGGGAUAGUUGGGGGCAUUAGUAUUCAAUUGUCAGAGGUGAAAUUCUUGGAUUUAUUGAAGACUAACUACUGCGAAAGCAUUUGCCAAGGAUGUUUUCAUUAAUCAAGAACGAAAGUUAGGGGAUCGAAGACGAUCAGAUACCGUCGUAGUCUUGACCAUAAACUAUGCCGACUAGGGAUCGGACGAAGUUAAUUUUAUAAUGACGCGUUCGGCACCUUACG
rnacentral:rRNA from 1 species